UUGGACCUGAUAUCAGAC
rnacentral:rRNA from 5 species